UACAGAGGGUGCGAGCGUUGUCCGGAAUCACUGGGCGUAAAGGGCGCGUAGGUGGCGACCCAAGUCGAUGGUGAAAGCUCGCCGCUCAACGGCGAGUCGGCCACUGAUACUGGGUUGCUGGAGCACUGUAGAGGCAGAUGGAAUUCCGGGUGUAGCGGUGGAAUGCGUAGAGAUCCGGAAGAACACCGGUGGCGAAGGCGGUCUGCUGGGCAGUUGCUGACACUGAGACACGAAGGCCAGGGGAGCAAACGGG
rnacentral:rRNA from 1 species